AGGACAAACGCUGGCGGCGUGCGUAAAACAUGCAAGUCGCACGGAGGCUUCGGCCUCAGUGGCAGACGGCUGAGUAACGCGUAGGGAUCUGCCCACCGGUGGGGAAUAACGGCCCGAAAGGGUCGCUAAUACCGCAUACGACCAGCCUUCGGGCUGAGGAAAGCCGUAAGGCGCCGGUGGAGGAACCUGCGUCCGAUUAGCUAGUUGGUGGGGUAACGGCCUACCAAGGCGUCGAUCGGUAGCUGGUCUGAGAGGAUGACCAGCCAGACUGGGACUGGGACACGGCCCAGACUCCUACGGGAGGCAGCAGUUAGGAAUUUUGGGCAAUGGCCGCAAGGCUGACCCAGCAACGCCGCGUGGGGGACGAAGGCCUUCGGGUUGUAAACCCCUUUUCCCAGGGACGAUGAUGACGGUACCUGGGGAUAAGCCCGGCUAACUACGCGCCAGCAGCCGC
rnacentral:rRNA from 1 species